GACGAACGCUGGCGGCGUGCUUAACACAUGCAAGUCGAACGAAGUGGCGAACGGGUGAGUAACGCGUAAUCAACCUGCCCUUCAGAGGGGGAAACCAGUUGGAAACGACUGCUAAUACCGCAUAAUGAAGGAGGGGAUUGCGUCUGAUUGGCUAGGUGGAGGGGGAACGGCCCACCAAGGCGAUGAUCAGUAGCCGGUCUGGGGGGGUGGACGGCCAAAAUGGGACUGGGGCACGGCCCAGGCUCCUAAGGGAGGCAGCAGUGGGGAAUCUUCCGCAAUGGACGGAAGUCUGACGGAGCAACGCCGCGGGAGUGAUGACGGCCUUCGGGUUGGAAAGCUAUGUUAAUCGGGACGCGGUACCGGAAUAGAAAGCCACGGCUAACUACGUGCCAGCAGCCGCGGUAAUAC
rnacentral:rRNA from 1 species